UACAGAGGGUGCAAGCGUUGUUCGGAAUUACUGGGCGUAAAGCGCGUGUAGGCGGCUUCGUGUGUCGAAUGUGAAAUCCCAUGGCUCAACCAUGGAAUGGCAUUUGAAACUGCGGGGCUGGAGUGUGGAAGAGGAGGGUGGAAUUCCCAGUGUAGAGGUGAAAUUCGUAGAUAUUGGGAGGAACACCGGUGGCGAAGGCGGCCCUCUGGUCCAUUACUGACGCUGAGACGCGAAAGCGUGGGUAGCAAACAGG
rnacentral:rRNA from 1 species